AAGUAUAUGCAUAUUUUGUUAUAUGUAGAGACUGCGAACGGCUCAUUAAAACAGUUAUAAUCUACUUGACAUUUUUUCUAUAAGGAUAACUACGGAAAAGCUGUAGCUAAUACUUGCUUUAGCACUCUCGAUUAAUUUCUUGAGUGUGUACUUGUUAAGCCUUUUAAGAAAAAAGUUAUUAACUUAAGGAAUUAUAACAAAGAAGUAACACGUAAUGGAUCCGUCCAUUUUUAGUGUGUAUCAAUCGAGUUUCUGACCUAUCAGCUUUUGAUGUUAGGGUAUUGGCCUAACAUGGCUAUGACGGGUAACGGGGAAUUAGAGUUCGAUUCCGGAGAGGGAGCCUGAGAAAUAGCUACCACAUCUAAGGAAGGCAGCAGGCGCGUAAAUUACCCAAUUCUAAAGAAGAGAGGUAGUGACAAGAAAUAACAAUACAAGGCCAAUCUGGCUUUGUAAUUGGAAUGAUGGGAAUUUAAAACCUUCCCAAAACUCAAUUGGAGGGCAAGUCUGGUGCCAGCAGCCGCGGUAAUUCCAGCUCCAAUAGCGUAUAUUAAAAUUGUUGCAGUUAAAACGCUCGUAGUUGAAUUUCAAAGAAUCUAUAUUUUAAUAAUACCGUUGGGAGCUAGAGCCACAUAAAGUUAAACCAUUGCAGUUUCGGCUUUAUGUGCGAAUCUCUAUCCCUCCACUUCUGGGUUAUUUUAAUUAAACUGUUUCUUUUUAAAAUCUUCUUUAGCUAAAACAUAUGGAAGGUUUUGUUACUUUGAGUAAAUUAAAGUGUUCAUAGCAAACAAAGCAGUGCGUUACUAACGCGUUUGAAUACUACAGCAUGGAAUAACAAAAUUGAACUAGUCAAAACUAUGUUUCUUUUUUUUUAUUUUUGGCUUAGUUACGAUUAAUAGGAGUAGUUUGGGGACAUUUGUAUUCAGAUGUCAGAGGUGAAAUUCUAAGAUUUUCUGGAGACAAACAACUGCGAAGGCAUUUGUCUAAAAUACUUCCAUUAAUCAAGAACGAAAGUUAAGGGAGUGAAGACGAUCAGAUACCGUCGUAAUCUUAACCAUAAACUAUACCGACUAGGUUUUGGAUGAAAGUAAAACAAAUAAGGAUAGUCUCUUCGGGGAUAGUUCUUAGAUUUCUUCCUUCAGUACCCUAUGAGAAAUCAAAGUCUUUGGGUUCUGGGGCGAGUAUUCGCGCAAGCGAGAAAGUUAAAAGAAUUGACGGAAGGGCACCACCAGGCGUGGAGCUUGCGGCUUAAUUUGACUCAACACGGGAAAACUCACUAGUUUAAGACAAGAGUAGGAUUGACAGAUUAAUAGCUCUUUCUUGAUUUCUUGGAUGGUGAUGCAUGGCCGUUUUUAGUUCGUGAAUAUGAUUUGUCUGGUUAAUUCCGAUAACGAACGAGAUCUUAACCUGCUAAUUAGCGGUAAGUACGACAUAUUUUUAUGUCGAAUUGGAUCUGGAUGAUUUGCUUAUAAUGAGGUGCAUAUAAUGAAGGAUCGUGAUUGCUUUUCGCGUCAGUGAUUUUUUAUCGAAUCGUUGAUGCGUUUAGUAUAUUUCGUUCUUUUUGUUCCCUGCGCUUCUUUACUUGGCUUAUCUUACCGUUUCCUUUUUGUGUAGAAAUGUAUUUGCUUUAUGUAAAGCUUCUUAGAGGAACGAUGUGUGUCUAACACAAG
rnacentral:rRNA from 1 species